GACGAACGCUGGCGGCGUGCUUAACACAUGCAAGUCGAACGGAAAGGCCCGGCUUUUGUGGGGUGCUCGAUUGCCGAACGGGUGAGUAACACGUGAGUAACCUGCCCUUGACUUUGGGAUAACUUCAGGAAACUCGGGCUAAUACCGGAUAUGAUCUCCUGCUCCAUGGUGGGGGUUGGAAAGUUUCGGCGUUGGGAGAUGGACUCGCGGCUUAUCAGCUUGUUGGUGGGGUAGGGGCGGACCAAGGCUUUGACGGGUAGCCGGCCUGGGAGGGGUACCGGCCACAAUGGGCCUGAGAUACGGAGCAGAAUCGUACGGGAGGCAGCAGUGGGGAGUAUUGCACAGUGGGCGGGAGCGAGAUGCGGCAACGCUGCGUGCGGGAUGACGGCUUUCGGGUUGAGAACCGCUUUCGCCUGUGACGAAGCGUGAGUGACGGUAAUGGGUAAAGAAGCACCGGCUAACUACGUG
rnacentral:rRNA from 1 species